UGCAAUAAGAUGAUAAUGAUGUUUACAGAUGGAGGAGAGGAUCGUGCCCAGGACAUUUUUGAGAAGUACAACUGGCCCAACAAAACCAUUCGAGUGUUUACCUUUUCAGUCGGGCAGCACAACUACGAUGUCACGCCUUUGCAGUGGAUAGCUUGUGCCAAUAAAGGAUUCUACUACGAGAUUCCAUCCAUUGGCGCCAUCAGAAUUAACACGCAGG